GGGAAAGAUAGCUGGUUGGUGGCUAGCGUGCUACCGGAACCAGACAGACCACUCUCAAGCUUCCUCUCUCUUUCCUUUCUCUCCCAUCCCCUCCUUUUCCUCCCUGCCGCUGGUGCCGGGGUCCUCCUCCUCCCGACAUCCCCUGCCUCCCGCCGCUCCAGCGAGUGCCUCCCCCUUCCCCGCUGCUGCAGGGAUCUCCGCUCCCUCCCUGCCUCCCCGCCGCCGGCGGUCCCUGCUUCGUCCUAGUCGUAGGCUCUGGUCACGAAAGAGCUCGAGGAUUCAUAUCUUGUUCCUGUGGAGAGCACGCAGCGCUCAAGCUCGACAUGCUUCAUGCCAGGCGACCCUGAGCUAGGCGCCGACGGAGGUGGAGGCGGGGGGCACGGACGUCGUCUCCACUGGAUUCGCGGACACGGCCAGCGACAACCUCAAGGGAUGGAAGAACAUGCGGCCAGCAUGGCCCUGUGUACGGCGUACCACGGGAAGGCUUGAGGGCGAGGACGGCGAGGACACCGGAGGCUGGGCUUGCGUGCGACGGUGCAACUUUUGCGGGUAGGACGGCGAGGAAACUGGAGGCUGGGCUGCGUGGACGGUGAAGACAGUGGCGGGGUGCCACCCAGGCAGGACGACCUGGAGGCGCAGCAAGCCGGGCAACCCAGGCAGGACGACCUGGAGGCGCAGCAAGCCGGGCAACGACGACCUGGAUGCGGAGCCAGCCGGUAAAGGACGACCGGGAGGAGGCGGUGUCUUCGAGAUGCCGCUGUUACCAGGAAGAGGACAGCGCGGAAGUUUUUGGCAGUGUUUUCGGCUGAGAUCGUGGAUCAGUUAUUAUCGUGGUGUAGUUUUGGGAUGGGAUGGUUGGUUGAUUUUUUAUUUCCUUAUAUAUACAUCCGUGCUGGAGAGUAUGCGGGCUGAACAUUUGAUCACAGCCGUAUAUUUGAUUGGCAGACCAUUGGUGUAACAUGGACAGUUGGAUUUCUUAGGCGUGAUUAGAUCGGACGUUCCUGGGUAUUCUGUGUACAAUUGGUUGUGUGGCUUUAGGGAAAUUCAUGUUUGCUCUUUUA